ACGGUGGGCCGGAAAUUCCCGCGGCCUGAGUGGAGGAGCCGAAGCCCAGAGCGCGGCGCCGCCUUCCACCUCCCCGGGACGGGCGGGGGCGUUGGGCCCUGCGAGGGCCGGGCUGCCUGAGUGGGGGCGGGGGGCCGCGUCUGCUAGGAGCUGAGGUGCCGGCGGGCGGGGAGCGGGACGACGCUGCCUUUCGAGAGCCACUCGGCAAGCUAGGAGACCCCGCGCCCCAGCUCUAGGGCUCCCGCCCCCUCGCGGUCUCCGCCUCCUUCUCUCACACACCCCCCGGGCCGUCUGAGCCCCUGGCCUUCCCGGGGCUCCUCCUCCUUCUGUUCACACUCGCCCUCCAACCCGGGUCCUCCAGCCGCCCGCCGGCCUUGCUCCCUGCCGGGCGAGUUCUCGUUCUCAGGCUUGUUACACACACAUACUCGCUUGCGGGGCCUCCACUCCUCACGGCCCUCCAGCUUCUCGUCCUAGCUGACGCCGCCGUCGGGGGAGGAUUGAUGUCCCUUCAGCAUCAUGCAGCCGCCGCCGAGGAAGGUGAAAGUUACACAAGAACUGAAAAACACUCAAGUUGAGCAGAUGACAAAACUUCAAGCCAAACAUCAAGCAGAAUGUGAUUUGCUUGAAGAUAUGAGAUGAGGAGACUGAGGCUCCGAGUGGCUAAGUGUCUUGCCCAAGAUCAGAACUAAGAAAUUGAAGAACUGCAUUUGAACCUGGGUGUCUGCCUGACUUUUAAAUUUUAAGUUCUUUCUCUCGUUGAAAACUGUCUUUAAAGGCAUUUGAUAGUAGCAGUUGAAAUCAAGUGAAAUUUUCAUAGUAUUUCCACAUAUAUUUUCUCAGCCUUUAUUAGAUCUUGUUAGGAAUUCAUGGAACAUAGGACCAUCUUUUCCCUGGUUUUUAUAACUGGACUCAGUUUCUUGAAAGUUAGAAAACAGAUAUCUUUCACUUGGGAUUAUUUUAAAUUACUGGGGGUACACAAUUUUCAGUGCCUACCAUGUCUAGACAUUGUGGAUGGAGUAUGGUAUCUUGUUUCAAGAACUGCUACUUAGAAUAGAUACCAAAGAAGGGGUGUAAGAGUCAAUGCCUUGCACAUCUUUCAGUCUGGCUGAUUAGUGUAGGAGUGGAAGAAGGUAUGUGGUCUGGAGUUUCAUGUCUUUUCAGAUCCAGGCUUGAUGAAGGAUUGUGUGAAACACUGAACUUCUAGGAAAUCUCUUAGCUCUUCUGAUAAUUAUAAUCGGGUUUAGGUUAUAUUUUGACAUACUUCCAUAUUCAAAAUUGCUUUUUCUGUCUUUUUUUGAUGUAAAUUAAGAUCAGGCAGUUUCGUGAAGACUGAAUGAGGGAUACAGAGUUUCUGAAUAGCUAAAGUCUUGCUAUUCUGGCCACUUAACUAUGUUUAUUUUUAACUUUUUGGCUGUGUACCUAAAAUAAAAUAUGCUCCACGAAUAGCUUAGAACCAGUUUAUUUUGGGUGAAUGAAAAUACUUUAUGUUAGUUAGUAAACUCACUUUAAUAAAAAGUUAUUCAUUACAUGUUUGAAACCAGUAAGUUACAAAAGUUAUUGAAAUGUUUCUUACCUAAAAAAUAAGUUACUGUUGGUCAAUUACAUUGCUUCAUUUUGUAUAGCUGUAUAGAUGAGGACAGAUAUUUUUCUGAAGGGACAUAAUUGUCCUAAAUUUACUUUCAGGAAAAUACCAGGUUUUCGGAGUUCCAUAGUUUAUAAAAAAUAUAAAGAAUAAUAGUAACAAAUUAUAAUACUUUGUUAAAAUUAAAAAAAUGGCUUUGACAAUGCAUGUUUGUUAAUGUGAUGUCUUUUGUCAUUGAUCUAGGACUAGUCUUAAUAUAUUAGUACACGUGUAUUAAAAUUAAGUCUUCAAAUCCCCUAUAUGUUAUACAUCAGUAACAUUGUAAAGAAAGAGAAAGCAAGAAAAAAGACCUCAGAGUUUAUUUUUAUGUAACUCUGCCAGGCAGAAGGCUCUGAAAGUUUUAUGAUGUGUCUUUUAAAUGUACAAUGUAAUUCAAGGAUAAAAAGUAAGAUGUUUCUUGCAGUAAAGAUGUUUAAAGACAAGUAAUGUAGUAAAAAAUUAUGUGUUAACUUUUAUUUGCAUUCUAUAGCAAUAGCAGAAAUUUUCAUUUGAUUAAAAUGUUUGAUAUGUUUUCUGCCAGGAUCUCAAAGGAAUGUGUGUUCCACUUUAAUAAAAGAU